UCAAAUGCAGUGAUUGGGAAGAGUACAAAAUAAUACCUUCAGAGAGGGAAAUCUAGUGCUGAAAAUUUCCUAGGAAUACUUAUUUUGGAAGGUCGCCCAUGAUGCAGCUUCUUUGAACUUGCAGUAGAAGAAGCCGGUAAUAUGCCGUUAUGUGAAUGAAGUGUAUUAAUUCAAUUUUUGGAAUUAAUAAACAAAGGUGGUACCGCGAAAAUCAAUCCUUUUCGUCCUUUUA
rnacentral:ncRNA from 1 species